UACGAGGGGUGCAAGCGUUAUUCGGAUUUACUGGGCGUAAAGGGUGUGUAGACGGUUUGCUAAGUCUGUUGUUAAAUACUCUGGCUUAACUGGAGAUCAGCGGUGGAAACUAGCAAACUAGAGGGUGGGAGAGAGAAGUGGAAUUCCCGGAGUAGCGGUAAAAUGCGUAGAUCUACGGGAGGAACACCGGAUGGCGAAGGCAGCUUCGUUGGCCCAUACCUGACGUUGAGACACGAAAGCGUGGGGAGCAAACAGG
rnacentral:rRNA from 1 species